GCCGGGGUCGCCUAGCCUGGUCCAGGGCGACGGGUUGCUAACCCGUUGGCCGCAAGGCCGCCCGGGUUCGAAUCCCGGCCCCGGCGCCA
rnacentral:tRNA from 2 species